CAUGCUCUACUGACUGAGCCAGCCAGGAAUCAUCCAGGAUGAUGGUGGGACUAGAAGUGACCUAUGAGCCAGAUGCAAGGAUCCUUAAUAAACAUGGCUGGACCGGGAGACUUCCAGCCAUCUUAACUGACCUCUCUGGAAGGUGGCCAGAGCCCACAAGGAAACAAAGAACGCCUGUGGGAGUUCGAAAGAACUAUCCCAAAGACCUUGGACUUUACCCUGUUGGAGAAGCGUCAGGAGAGGCAGUCAGAUUCUAACUUUAAUCGGUAACCUUCUUUUGUACACCAUUCUAAUAGACUUCAUUAUCUGGCUUGCUGGCCCACAGCAAAUUCGAUGAGAGGCUACUAGCGGCAGGUCCACUAAGAGCCGAGUGAAAUAGUGGCCGAAAGUUUGAAUUCAAGGGAGGAGGAGAAUCUUAAAAGAUGUAUAUAAAAACUGAGAAAAGCUCAGCCGUCUGAGACCACUGAGUG